rnacentral:lncRNA from 1 species
AAAGUUAUAUAAUAAUGUACCUAAAAAUGGAGGAAUCAUAAUAAUAAUAAAAUGAAUAAUAAUAUACCUAAAAAGGGUGGAAUUAAAGCAAAUAUUUUUAGUUUCCGCUCAUUGGGCUUUAUAGCUCACCCCCUCUCCCCUAACCCCAGUCUUGCAGGUGCAGAGUAGCUAGAGGAGUCAACAGAGUAAGAGAAGUUUAUGUAAUAGCUUAGCUGUGGACAUGGUUUGUAGCAAUGUAAAAGUAUGAGAUGUAAUGUAAUGUAAGAUUGAUAAUGUGCUUGACUAGAGUCUAUUGUAUUCCCUAUACACAUGGUCUUGUAUGAGAUAUAAUGUUUUUAUGAUGCCUAUGUAAUCCAAGCCUAUGUUAUGUUAUGUUACCCCAUUGGAGUAUUUGAUGAGGACUCCAAUGAGGGGUUUAUGUUAUGUUUGUGCAUGCACAGGCUAGGCUUGGCAAAGAAAUGUUUGAAUGAAAGAAAAGUUUUAAAUUUUUAUGU